rnacentral:rRNA from 1 species
AUUGAACGCUGGCGGCAGGCUUAACACAUGCAAGUCGAGCGGGGUGAUGGUGCUUGCACUAUCACUUAGCGGCGGACGGGUGAGUAAUGCUUAGGAAUCUGCCUAUUAGUGGGGGGCAACAUCUCGAAAGGGAUGCCAAUACCGCAUACGUCCUACGGGAGAAAGCAGGGGAUCACUUGUGACCUUGCGCUAAUAGAUGAGCCUAAGUCGGAUUAGCUAGUUGGUGGGGUAAAGGCCUACCAAGGCGACGAUCUGUAGCGGGUAUGAGAGGAUGCUCCGCCACACUGGGACUGAGACACGGCCCAGACUCCUACGGGAGGCAGCAGUGGGUAAUAUUGGACAAUGGGGGGAACCCUGAUCCAGCCAUGCCGCGUGUGUGAAGAAGGCCUUAUGGUUGUAACGCACUUUAAGCGAGGAGGAGGCUCUUUUGGUUAAUACCCAAGAUGAGUGGACGUUACUCGCAGAAUAAGCACCGGCUAACUCUGUGCCAGCCGCCGCCGUAA